rnacentral:rRNA from 1 species
GGGUUGUGAGGUUAAGCGACUAAGCGUACACGGUGGAUGCCCUGGCAGUCAGAGGCGAUGAAGGACGUGCUAAUCUGCGAUAAGCGUCGGUAAGGUGAUAUGAACCGUUAUAACCGGCGAUUUCCGAAUGGGGAAACCCAGUGUGAUUCGUCACACUAUCAUUAACUGAAUCCAUAGGUUAAUGAGGCGAACCGGGGGAACUGAAACAUCUAAGUACCCCGAGGAAAAGAAAUCAACC